rnacentral:rRNA from 1 species
GAUGAACGCUGGCGGCGUGCCUAAUACAUGCAAGUCGAGCGAACAGAUGAGGAGCUUGCUCCUCUGACGUUAGCGGCGGACGGGUGAGUAACACGUGGAUAACCUACCUAUAAGACUGGGAUAACUUCGGGAAACCGGAGCUAAUACCGGAUAAUAUAUUGAACCGCAUGGUUCAAUAGUGAAAGACGGUUUUGCUGUCACUUAUAGAUGGAUCCGCGCCGCAUUAGCUAGUUGGUAAGGUAACGGCUUACCAAGGCAACGAUGCGUAGCCGACCUGAGAGGGUGAUCGGCCACACUGGAACGGAGACACGGUCCAGACUCCUACGGGAGGCAGCAGUAGGGAAUCUUCCGCAAUGGGCGAAAGCCUGACGGAGCAACGCCGCGUGAGUGAUGAAGGUCUUCGGAUCGUAAAACUCUGUUAUUAGGGAAGAACAAAUGUGUAAGUAACUGUGCACGUCUUGACGGUACCUAAUCAGAAAGCCACGGCUAACUACGUG